GUGUCAGCAGCCGCGGUAAUACGUAGGGACCAAGCGUUGUUCGGAUUUACUGGGCGUAAAGGGCGCGUAGGCGGCGUGUUAAGUCACUUGUGAAAUCUCUAAGCUUAACUUAGAACGGUCAAGUGAUACUGAUGUGCUAGAGUGCAGAAGGGGCAACCGGAAUUCUUGGUGUAGCGGUGAAAUGCGUAGAUAUCAAGAGGAACACCUGAGGUGAAGACGGGUUGCUGGGCUGACACUGACGCUGAGGCGCGAAAGCUAGGGUAGCAAACGGGAUUAGAAACCCUCGUAGUCC
rnacentral:rRNA from 1 species